rnacentral:rRNA from 1 species
GACGAACGCUGGCGGCAUGCCUAAUACAUGCAAGUCGAGCGAACAGAUGAAGUGCUUGCACUUCUGACGUUAGCGGCGAACGGGUGAGUAACACGUAAGGAAUCUACCUAUAAGCGGAGGAUAACAUUCGGAAACGGGUGCUAAUACCGCAUAAUAUCUUCUUCCGCAUGGAAGAAGAUUGAAAGACGGCUCUGCUGUCACUUACAGAUGACCUUGCGGUGCAUUAGUUAGUUGGUGGGGUAACGGCCUACCAAGACGAUGAUGCAUAGCCGACCUGAGAGGGUGAUCGGCCACAUUGGGACUGAGACACGGCCCAAACUCCUACGGGAGGCAGCAGUAGGGAAUCUUCCGCAAUGGGCGAAAGCCUGACGGAGCAAUGCCGCGUGAGUGAAGAAGGCCUUCGGGUCGUAAAACUCUGUUAUAAGAGAAGAACAAAUUGUAGAGUAACUGCUACAGUCUUGACGGUAUCUUGUCAGAAAGCCACGGCUAACUACGUGCCAGCCGCCGCUGUAA